UACGUAGGGGGCAAGCGUUGUCCGGAAUCAUUGGGCGUAAAGCGCGUGUAGGCGGCCCGGUAAGUCCGCUGUGAAAGUCGGGGGCUCAACCUCGGAUGCCGGUGGAUACUGUCGGGCUAGAGUGCGGAAGAGGCGAGUGGAAUUCCUGGUGUAGCGGUGAAAUGCGCAGAUAUCAGGAGGAACACCAAUUGCGAAGGCAGCUCGCUGGGACGUGA
rnacentral:rRNA from 1 species